rnacentral:lncRNA from 1 species
GGAGGCUCUGGCUCGAUGGCGGCGAGGCGGGCUCUGGGUCCUCUCCCGGCCAGGCCGAGCUUAGUAUGUGGAGGCGGCGGCGGGAGCGUGGGCAUGGACCAAGGGAAGGGGGACCCCCCCCAAACCGCACUGGUGCUUUCCUUUCCCUCCACUCGCGCCGUAGCCCUCCCCAAAUUGCCCGUCUCCGGUAGGACUGAAUCUGUCUGCUGGCCUCUCAGCUACCAACUUUGCCCGAAAUCUAGAUCCCAGACCUGCUCCUGGGUAGCUCUAGGAUGUGACUUUAAACUGGAAUGACUCUCAGGAGCUAGGUUUGAUAUGGCACAAUCUCAAGGCAUCCCUAAGUCUGAAGUUCUUCCAGCAGGUUUGGACAAGCAGCUCAGAGAUUAGCGAAUGCGUCUCAGCUGUCCUAGGAAAGUGCUGUCAGCAAGUCUGAAGAGUUUCCCAGAAGCCCCGAAAGGACGCAAUAGCAUCGUUUAGCAGAAAGAAACAGCCCUGGAUUAAUGUUCUUUUGGGAUUCAUCUUCUGGCUUUGUGAUUUUUGGGCAAGUUGCUUAUCUUCCUCCAUUUAUUCACAUAUAUAAUGAGAUGAGUAAUACCUACCUUACAAACUUUUCUGUGAGAAGAAAAAAAAAUUGUUAAAUAUUUGCUGUGUGUAAAAUGCUUAUUCCUUUAAAGUUUUCAUGUCAGUUAAAAACAUUAUUGGCUUGAAACCUGAUAAAAACGUGUUAUUGACUUGAAUCCUUACUCAACAAUGGAAAUAGCAAUUGUGCUUGCCAUUCAGGGUGGCACAAUUAUUUCCAUUGGUUCAGGGUGGUGGUGUGGGAGCUACUAGAUAGAACAGGUGGGGCAAUUCUUGAUACAUUUUGGUGUUUUUUGUUACUACUAAUCCACCAACUCUUGUUUUCACUCAGAAGCAGAUCAAAUGGACGUAUUUAUUAUAGACAGAAAAAGUGAUAAAUGAGAUUAAUUUUAAAAAUAAAAUGAAAAGGAAAAUAAUUAUGAAUGUAUGAUUUAUAAGUUCUGAAUAUAUGAUUUAUAAGUUCUGCCUGUAUACAUAAUAAAAUCAUUUAAAUUACACGACUGUUAACUGAGCGAAGUAAUUUUUAUCACUUAGAUUUAUGUGUUCCUCGGACAGUCUUAAAUGAAAACAAGAUGUGAUGGCUUUAGAGAAUUUCACUUUGACUGGAAGUGUUUUUAAUUGAAGAGUAUUUUGCAUUAGCUGAUGGAGUUAAUUUCCCUAAGAUCUUCCAUAACUAGUGCAUGUAGCACUAGCUAGUUGGAAUCUGAGCAUUCAGGGACAUUCUUUAUCAUCUUAAGUAAAAAAAAAUUGUGUUUUAUGAUAUAUGUAAAAUAUGGAAGCUCAUAUGCUCUUUAAGAUGGGAUGAAAGAGAAUAGUUUUAUUGUAUAUUAGAAAAACUGAGUUUUUCUGAUAUAGUACUUCCCAGAUGUUAGCAGUUGCAAUGAAGAUAAUAAAAUCAAGCACUAUACAGUAUUUCUUGGGUCAAGUUGGAGAAACACUAGAUUAAUAAAAA